GGCAAUAAGGCGAGGUCUAGCGAGGGGCGGCUAUACAUGCACGUCGAGCGCAGGAAGCUGACGGAACUCUUCGGAGGGAAGGCAGUGGAAUGAGCGGCGGACGGGUGAGUAACACGUAAGGAACCUGCCUCAAGGAUUGGGAUAACUCCGAGAAAUCGGAGCUAAUACCGGAUAGUUCAACGGACCGCAUGGUCCGCUGAUGAAAGGCGCUUCGGCGUCACCUUGAGAUGGCCUUGCGGUGCAUUACCUAGUUGGUGGGGUAACGGCCCACCAAGGCGACGAUGCAUAGCCGACCUGAGAGGGUGAUCGGCCACACUGGGACUGAGACACGGCCCAGACUCCUACGGGAGGCAGCAAUAGGGAAUCUUCCACAAUGGACGAAAGUCUGAUGGAGCAACGCCGCGUGAGUGAUGAAGGUUUUCGGAUCGUAAAACUCUGUUGUAAGGAAAGAACACCUACGACAGGAAAUGCUCGUACCUUGACGGUACCUUACGAGAAAGCCACGGCUAACUACGUGCCAGCAGCCGCGGUAAUACGUAGGUGGCAAGCGUUGUCCGGAAUUAUUGGGCGUAAAGCGCGCGCAGGCGGCCUUUUAAGUCUGAUGUGAAAGCCCCCGGCUCAACCGGGGAGGGCCAUUGGAAACUGGAAGGCUUGAGUACAGAAGAGAAGAGUGGAAUUCCACGUGUAGCGGUGAAAUGCGUAGAGAUGUGGAGGAACACCAGUGGCGAAGGCGACUCUUUGGUCUGUAACUGACGCUGAGGCGCGAAAGCGUGGGGAGCAAACAGGAUUAGAUACCCUGGUAGUCCACGCCGUAAACGAUGAGUGCUACGUGUUGGGGGGUUUCCGCCCCUCAGUGCUGAAGCUAACGCAUUAAGCACUCCGCCUGGGGAGUACGGCGCAAGGCUGAAACUCAAAGGAAUUGACGGGACCCGCACAAGCGUGAGCAUGUGGUUUAAUUCGAAGCACGCGAGAACUUACAACUCUUGACAUCCCAUUGACGCUUGAGAGAUCAGGUUUUCCUUCGGGGACAUGUGGACAGUGUGCAUGUUGUCGUCACUCUGUGUCUGGAUGUGGUAGUCCCCGCACGAGCCAACCUAUCUUAAUGCCGAAUCCGUGGGACUCUCGGAGACUGCGGUACAGAGAGGGAUAGCUUCAAUCAUUGCUUUAAGUGGGCAA
rnacentral:rRNA from 1 species